rnacentral:misc_RNA from 1 species
CCGAAGGUGGGGCUAAUGACUGGGGUGAAGUCGUAACAAGGUAGCCGUACCGGAAGGUGCGGCUGGAUCACCUCCUAACAGGGAGACAACAAAAUGUUAAAUAUUAAUUUUGUCACCUUAGGUCGAUCGGUAUCUCAGAUUCUUAAUUACUUUAAGAAUUUCAUUUCCUAAGUUUUUUCUAGGUCACACCCAUUACUUUCCCUGGGCCAUUAGCUCAGGUGGUUAGAGCGCACCCCUGAUAAGGGUGAGGUCCCUGGUUCAAGUCCAGGAUGGCCCAUAUCUCUAUGUUGGGGGUAUAGCUCAGUUGGUAGAGCGCCUGCUUUGCAAGCAGGAUGUCAGCGGUUCGAGUCCGCUUACCUCCACUGAUUACCACCUCUUACAUAAAUUUAAAGAAGGGAAUUGUUAAUAGAGGUGAUUUAGUUCUGAACGAAUCUAGCUUCCUAAUAAAUACAUUAAGAUGCUGGACUCAUUGAAUUUUAUUCAUUGUUUUCAGAGAACCUUGACAACUGCAUAGAUUAUUUUUAAAGACAAUAAGCAUCUUUAAUGAUGCAGAUUUAUUAUUUGUGCUAAUGCAUUAAUAACAAUUCUAUUGAGCUGAUGCUUCAAUUUUUUGAAGUUAUUGGUCAAGCUACAAAGGGCUCACGGAGGAUACCUAGGCACACAGA